AUUAGCGGCGGACGGGUGAGUAACACGUGGGUAACCUGCCUCAAAGUGGGGGAUAGCCUUCCGAAAGGAAGAUUAAUACCGCAUAAUAUAGGAGAAUCGCAUGAUUUUCUUAUCAAAGAUUUAUUGCUUUGAGAUGGACCCGCGGCGCAUUAGCUAGUUGGUAAGGUAACGGCUUACCAAGGCAACGAUGCGUAGCCGACCUGAGAGGGUGAUCGGCC
rnacentral:rRNA from 1 species